rnacentral:rRNA from 1 species
UACGUAGGGGGCAAGCGUUGUCCGGAAUUAUUGGGCGUAAAGCGCGCGCAGGCGGUCCUUUAAGUCUGAUGUGAAAGCCCACGGCUCAACCGUGGAGGGUCAUUGGAAACUGGAGGACUUGAGUACAGAAGAGAAGAGUGGAAUUCCACGUGUAGCGGUGAAAUGCGUAGAGAUGUGGAGGAACACCAGUGGCGAAGGCGACUCUUUGGUCUGUAACUGACGCUGAGGCGCGAAAGCGUGGGGAGCAAACAGG